rnacentral:rRNA from 1 species
CCUACGGGGGGCUGCAGUAGGGAAUCUUCCACAAUGGGUGCAAACCUGAUGGAGCAAUGCCGCGUGAGUGAAGAAGGUCUUCGGAUCGUAAAGCUCUGUUGUUAGAGAAGAACACGUGCUAAGUAACUACUAGCGCCUUGACGGUAUCUAACCAGAAAGUCACGGCUAACUACGUGCCAGCAGCCGCGGUAAUACGUAGGUGACAAGCGUUGUCCGGAUUUAUUGGGCGUAAAGGGAGCGCAGGCGGUCUGUUUAGUCUAAUGUGAAAGCCCACGGCUUAACCGUGGAACGGCAUUGGAAACUGACAGACUUGAAUGUAGAAGAGGAAAAUGGAAUUCCAAGUGUAGCGGUGGAAUGCGUAGAUAUUUGGAGGAACACCAGUGGCGAAGGCGAUUUUCUGGUCUAACAUUGACGCUGAGGCUCGAAAGCGUGGGGAGCGAACAGGAUUAGAUACCCUGGUAGUC